CUCUUGGGUUCUGUUUUGGAUCCCUGCCGAUAAUGAGCUUCACAGGAACGUUCCUUGGGCCAGUCUCCUUCCAUCCAUUGCCCCAGUGUGUGCUGUGCCAUUGAACAUGAGACUCCUGGACUUCAGCCCUAGAAUUUUCUUUUAGUGCUCGCUCUAGCAGCACAUUUACUAAAAUUGGAACUACACAGAGAUUAACCAGGUCCCUGCACAAGGAUGACAUGCAAAUUCAUGAAGUAUGACACAUUUUUAAAAAUAACUUGAAAUGGACCACUAUGCAACUCUUAGAAGAAAACAUAGGAAAAAAGCAUCAAGACUUUGAAUUUGGGAAUUUGAUAUGAUAUCAAAAGCACAGGCAACAAAAGAAAACAAUAAGGUGGAUUUUAUCAAAAUUAAAAACUUUUGUGCAUCAAAGGACACAAUCAACAGAGUGAGAAGGUAACCCACGGAACGGGAGAAAAUAUUUAUGAGUCAUAUAACUGAUAAGGGAUUGUUAUGCAGCUUAUGCAAAGAAUUCCUGCAACUCAACGACCACAAAAAAACCCCAGACAUCCUGAUUCAGAAUGGGCAAAGGACUUGAGUAGAUGUUUCUCCAGAGAAGAUAUACAGAUGGCCAGCAAGCACAUGAAUAGGAGCUCGACAUCCCCAGACAUUACCACUCCCCACCCAUGAGGAUGGCUGUGAUUGAAACAAAACAAUAAAUAAAAGACAGACAAACUGGAACCCUUGUGCAUUGCUGGUGGGAAUGUAAAACAGUGCAACCAUCGCAGGAAACAGUUGCCAAUUCCUCAAGAGAUUAAACAUAGAAUUACGGAAUAAUCCAGCAAUUCCAUUUCUGGAUAUAUACUCAAAAGAAAUGAAGGCAGGAUUUCAAAAUGACAUUUAUACACUUUUUUUUUUUUGAGACGGAGUCUCUCUCUGUAGCCCAGGCUGGAAUGCAGUGGCAUGAUCUAGGCUCACUACAACCUCCGCCUCCC
rnacentral:lncRNA from 1 species